ACAGAAGAGACGUUGUUGCAAUUUUUUCCAAACUUAGGGGUUAACCACAAACUCAUCCAAGGAGGAAAAACUGCAACCUUUCCUGUCGAAAUUUACGACCUCGUGUUCCCGACAACUCUGGCGCUAAAAACGACAAUUCCCAGUCCCUUUCUCGCCUUCGGACCCCCUCCCCCUGUCUCCAUCAUCCUCUCUCUUGCAUCCUCUCUUUCUUUCUAAUCCAAGUUAGUUCUCCAUUCUUCUGUGUCCAAUCUCUAAGAAAAAUCCCACAGUUUCUCCAAUACUGCAUCGACUUUGUCUUGUUAUUGUACAACAUACUAACAAUAAUACAACUGACACAUUGCCUAGUUUACAACUUGUAUUUGAUGUACUACUGCUGCUAUGUGGUCCAAAUGGUGGUGGUGGUGGGUAUGAUGAUAAAGAAGAAGAAGAAGAAGAAGUUACUAGUAGCCCAGCAAAAAGGGAUGGUCUAAGGCAGGAAACUGGACAAGGGGGUAAUAAAGAACCCAAAAGGGUGUCUAUAUUUCGAUUUGGGAAGGCCAAGAAAAAGCUGAAGCUGUUGCAGAGUAAUAGGAGGAGGAGGAGGAGGUGGAAGGGUGGUUUCUUAAAUUCAGGGGGGUGUUUUGGGAGAGGUGGAGGGGAAGGUGGGGUGGUAGAGGGUUGUUGUUGCUUGUGCACAAAGCAACCGCAGGCACUGGAUUCCUCAGGUGAGUCGCCACCCACCAGUGAUCCUAAUAGUAAGGAGUUUACUUAUGACAUGUUGAAAGUUUUUAUUGAAAAGAAUGAUUUUUAUGCUGCAGAUUGUAAUCCACAUUUGGAUUCCAGUUAAAUUUUGUAUAAGAUGAUUAGAAGUGAAAGGAGAAAUUUUCAAGGGAAUUGCUUGGUUGUUUUAAUUUUCAAUUGGAUUCCUCCACUCAUUCCUCAUAAAAAAGAUUCAAAAAGAUGAUUUCUUUUCUUUUUUUUUUUUGUAAAAAUUUUGAGGAUUUGAUAUUCGAUUACCUGGCAGAGGCUUUUGUGGGGAACAUAAAUCAAAAUGCAAAAUUCGAGGUGAAUGAUUUCAAAGGUGUAGGAACUGUAGGGAUAUAAAGAUCAAAUUUUGAUAUCUGUAUACUUUCUUGAAUAUUCGAUGUAUGUCGGUUUAUGAACAAAGAUCAAAAUACUGGGGAAGUAUGUCGGUUUAUGAUAUUCGAUGAAGUAGCAUGAGUUGUGGAGGAAUUGUUGUCUUCAUGUUCUUUGAGACCACAUGAAGUAGCAUUAUCAGGAUUUCGGUGUUGUGGAAAGCUCAGAAAAGUUUUGGCCUUUGAGAAUGCGAUCUUUGCUGCUACUAUUAUUAAUGCAUUGUUUUUGCAUAGGUCUGUUCAUGAAAGUUUUCACAUGAUCAUGCAUCUGAGGUACAGUAUAUGUAUUACCCAGAGGAAAAGAAGAAAGGGAUACUAAAUAGAAGAUAAGAAAUGGAAAGAGAAUGAGAAAAUAGUGCGUAGAAGAGAAUGGUCUCAAAUCGGUUACUUGAGUUGUUAAAACUUUUUCAGCUAGAAGUGGGUUCUCUGUUUCAUCCAGGUUUUUAAAAGUGAAAUCUGUGCAGUCAUUUAUCAAUACUCAUCUUAGCAGGAAUGCAAAAAAAUUUUUUGCACAAGUCAUCUCAGAAACUUGUCUAAUAUUUGUAGCAAAGCUCUUCUAUGUGUUGCAUGUGGUCUGGAUAUGGACCACAGAAGGCUAAGGGAAAUUCCUGCUGUGCUAUUUUGAAGGAAACUCAGUUAUAUGGAUGUGCUACAUUCUGGAAUUGGUUCAUAGAUAUGUUUCCUGCCUCCUGGUGAAUUGAAUUUUCUUAACUAUUUAGGUGGGUGAAUCAAAUUGUCAUCUCAUCUCAUUUUUACAAUAAGCUGGAGCUUGUUAAUUUAGAUUGAUUGCAAUUUUGUUGUUGCCAUAGCUCAUCUGUAUCUCUGAAGCUCUGCAAGAGGAUUUUUCACUCAAGGUCAUAUAUUGUAGUGCGUGUCAGGAAAUGGUUGAGUUUCUCUCAGUUGUAUAUUUGUAUUUUGCCUCAAAAUCUUCAAGCUCUUGUUCUUCUUCUUUUUAAUUGUUUGAUUACAUUUGAUAGAAGUCUAGUGUUCCCCCAGACUGUAAAUAGUUGAUAAGUACCAAAUGGUUGGAGAAUCUCCAUCACUGCAUGCUUAUAAACUUCAGAAGAUGCUGUAAGAUUGGGGCACAAUUGUCAUUUAGAUGACACAGUUUGAUAACUGCCAUUUCAAAAGUUACUUUGAAAAGUGCGAAGAAUUUUGAUCUGUAGAAUCUGUAAUUCUGAAACUGGUGAAAGAUGAAGCCAUUUGUGUUCAUCCAUCUGCUAAAUAUUUUUAUGUUAUUACUGAGUUGCUAACUGGGGGGUGAUGAUGGCAGGAAGAGAGGAGUUAUGAAUCCAAAUUCUGAGUCUACAGUCUGUGUCUGACUUUAAUUCUUGUUUCUGUGGUCACUGUGCUUAACUUUGUGUGAGUAUCUUUGCUGUAUUUGAGCACGACCAUGUGAAAUUGUUAGCAUGAGCAACAAGCUGCUUUCAUCAUUAAUGAUUUGGGGCUAGUUUCAGCUUAGAAUCAGCACUCUAGGUAGCUCACUUCUGAACGUCUUAUUUUCUGUCCUUUAUUGCUUUUUACCUCUGCUUUUAGAUUGUCUUAAUCUGGGUAAGUUUCAUGGUGAAAAGCAUAUUUAUGGCACCUUUGCUUUUUGGUACUUUUGAAAGUUGAAACACACCACCUAUGGGAAUAUCUGAACUACUUGUUGAAGAAUCAGUUAUAGAGCUUUAAAAUGCUCAAGUAAUGAAGAAGAAGCCUUACAUAACAUCUAGUGACUAAAUUUCUAUUGAUGAAAAAGCAAGAUCUUUUGUAUUGUCUAAAGUGACUUGGAAUUUGAUAUGGUAGGCAGACCCUCCAUUGGAUCCCAUAGCACUGGAACUGAAAUUAAUAAGGCACUAUCACCCUUGCGUGAAACUGCUUCUUAUCCUCAGUUUGGGGAUUUUGUACACGUUUUUUGUAUAUUCUUAAUUAGUGAAAUCUCUCUUGAGUUUAAUCUUCCUUUGAUGCCUGUUGCUUGAUUCAUAUCUGUCCGAUCUAUCUAUCGUGAUGGAGAAAUCACUGGAUAUGAUACUUUUCUUGCUCUGCAUUCUGAUGAAUAGCCACUCAUCUUAUUAGUUUCCUCAGUUCUUGUGCUUUCAACCAAAUCCUUGUAAAUAUUGUCCUACGUGAUUUUGUUAAACUGGAAUAAUGUUUCAACCAGUCUUUAACUUGUGCAAAUAUACGAAGAAGAUUGCUUUUCCAAUACCUAAGUUCUCUAAGGAAAGUGAAUAGGCUAUUUCUUGAGCUACCAUUAGAGUUGGACUAUUGGGAUUCCACUUUUUGGAUUUGUAAUUUUAACAGUUUUUCUCCACCAAAGCUCUUGCCACAUUUGUCUAGCUUCUGAACAUUUCAGGUGUACAAGGAGAGGAAAAAGGAGUUUCAUUAGGGUUCUUGAUCUGUUUUGCUUGCUAUUUGAUACUUGUUCCUAGCCGAAUGGCAAAAGCAGUCUUUCUUUUCUUCGUAGCUGUACUCAUUUUGGCCCUCCUUAGCUUUGAAAUUAUGCUGCUAUGGUACCUCAUACAUUAGGCUGUCAUUAGAAGCUUUAUAGAUCUCCUUUAGAUCUGGAACUUGCUAGUAUCUGACUGAACUGUUGUAUAUUAAGAAAAAGAACAACAUAGUUCAAAAGAAAUGGAAAGACAUGUUACACUGGCAACUUUCCAUUUCACUGCAAGAUGGUGAUAAUGAUAAGGCUUUACCGGUUCCUUGAUGGGGCAUUUUUUACUUCACCAAAGGGUACUGUUGGAGGUAAAUCUGAGAAAGGGAGAUUAAAUCUGUCACACAUCAGAUGGACCUUUGUUGGAUUGUACGAAAAUAACUUUAGUUCCAAAUUACCUGGACAUUGUGCAUUCUAGGACUCUGAUAACAAGAUACGGUGUGCUUACGCUUAAUUUGAGUGUUUUCACAGCUUGGUUACAGAAGUGAUCAAGAUGUGUUGAACAGGAGGAUUCAUCUUGAUUAUAGUUUAAACAUAGGCGAUGCCUGGAACAUAUUUUAGUCUGGAUGCUUAUAGAAUUGUGACUGGGAAAAGAGUAGAAAAUGUAGCCCCAUUUAUGGUUAGGUAAACAAGAUUUACCUUUAACUUUAAACUCUUUCUUGGUUUGGGAUUAAAAGUUUUUGCAUUCAUGCUCAGUUGGUUGCCUUUGACAACGCCUAUGAACAGUUUGGUCUACUUGCCCCACAUGCAUCAAGUGAAAAGCACCAGAAUAUCCUAAAGCAUGGCAAAAUAUCUCCCCUUUUUGAAAUCAGGAAAUGAGAUGAACCUUUUCUUUCUGCAUUUUAAGCGAGAGGGAUUUGCAGUUUACCUACCAGGAGUUUUUGGUAUCAUGUUCCUUCUGCUCAUCAAGACUAGUUUCUUCUGUUCCCUUGUAGUUAUGAUCUUUUAAUUGUUUGUGUGUUCAUGCACAAUACGUACUUUGCAUUUUUGCUCGUUGGACAACAGGGAAACCUACCAUUCUGUGAAGUAGUAAACACUGGCAAUUGGUGAUGCUAGAUGAAGGUGUUAGCUCUUAAUUUUUCCAUUUUGUCAUAUAUACUAAUAUGGGUUCUCAAGAAGAAGAAUUAUGAGAGUCUUCGUUUCCACCAUCACUUGGUCAUUAUCUCGUUCCAUCUCAUUGCUGAAAGUUGCUCAAAGGUAAAAUAAGCUAAUUCUGUGGAAGUCUGAAAGAAUGUAAAUGCACUUCUGCUGUAUUUUGUCAUGAUUUUUUGGGCAUCCUUGUGUGCUGGAUCGAGUUAGAGACGUGCAAGAUGAAGUUUUUUUUUGGAAAAAAAUCCUGUGGAGAUCUGAUUGAACUACAUGCCUUGCUGGAUUUGGCUUCUUUGCAUUCUAUCUAUAGAUAGAUUAUAAUCGGGCUUAUCCAUUUUUGUCCCUUUUCAAGGCACCAAGACAAGGUAGGGGACACUUGGUGGCACUUUGACCCUGGAAGAGAAUAUAUAUUUGAAUUUUUCUAGCGGGGGUGCUUUAGGACACUCGAUAUCGUUCAUCUAACCUAUCAAAUAUAGACACGUACUAACAAUUAUUUGCAUUUAUAUAUUUUUCUUAUUUAAUCUUGCAUAUUAUUUCUUGUAUUUAUUUGCUUUUCUUAACCUGAAAUAUAUCUUAACGAGUUUCUUGUGGGCA